rnacentral:rRNA from 1 species
GACAGAGGUGCCAAGCGUUGUUCGGAUUCACUGGGCGUAAAGGGUGCGUAGGUGGUGAGGUAAGUCGGAUGUGAAAUCUCCGGGCUCAACCCGGAAACUGCAUUGGAAACUACCUUGCUUGAGGAUUUGAGGGGGGAUUGGAAUACUUGGUGUAGCAGUGAAAUGCGUAGAUAUCAAGUGGAACACCAGUGGCGAAGGCGAAUCCCUGGAAAAUACCUGACACUGAGGCACGAAAGCUAGGGGAGCAAACAGG